CCUACGGGCGGCAGCAGUCGAGAAUCAUUCACAAUGGGGGAAACCCUGAUGCUGCGACGCCGCGUGGGGGAAUGAAGGUCUUCGGAUUUUAAACCCCUGUCAUGUGGACGAACAUAAGAAAGUACGUCCCGCAAGAGGAAGAGCCAGCUACCUCUGUGCCAGCGGCCGCGGUAAUACGUAGGUCUCAAGCGUUGUUCGGAAUCACUGGGCGUAAAGCGUGCGUAGGCUGUUUUGUAAGUCGUGUGUGAAAGGCGCGGGCUCAACCCGCGGACGGCACAUGAUACUGCGUGACUAGAGUAAUGGAGGGGGAACCGGAAUUCCGGGUGUAGCAGUGAAAUGCGUAGAUAUAGAGAGGAACACUCGUGGCGAAGGCGGGUUCCUGGACAUUAACUGACGCUGAGGCACGAAGGCCAGGGGAGCGAAAGGGAUUAGAUACCCGGGUAGUC
rnacentral:rRNA from 1 species